rnacentral:rRNA from 1 species
UGGCGGCGUGCUUAACACAUGCAAGUCGUACGAGAACUCUUCUGCUUGCAGAAGAUAGUAAAGUGGCGCACGGGUGAGUAACGCGUGGGUAAUCUACCUCUGAAUCGGGGAUAACCCGCCGAAAGGCGAGCUAAUACCGGAUAAUAUCUUUAAAACUUAGGUUUUUAAGAUAAAAGGUGGUCUCUACAUGUAAGCUACUGUUUGGAGAUGAGCCCGCGUACCAUUAGCUUGUUGGUAGGGUAAUGGCCUACCAAGGCCGCGAUGGUUAGCUGGUCUGAGAGGAUGAUCAGCCACACUGGAACUGACACACGGUCCAGACUCCUACGGGAGGCAGCAGUGAGGAAUUUUGCGCAAUGGGGGAAACCCUGACGCAGCAACGCCGCGUGAGUGAUGAAGGCUUUCGGGUCGUAAAGCUCUGUCAAGUGGGAAGAACCUGCUCGAUGCUAAUACCAUCUAGCACUGACGGUACCACUAAAGGAAGCACCGGCUAACUCCGUG